GACGAACGCUGGCGGCGUGCUUAACACAUGCAAGUCGAGCGGAAAGGCCCUUUCGGGGGUACUCGAGCGGCGAACGGGUGAGUAACACGUGAGUAAUCUGCCCUGUGCUUUGGGAUAGCCACCGGAAACGGUGAUUAAUACCGGAUACGACCAACCUACGCAUGUGGUGCUGGUGGAAAGUUUGUCGGCGCAGGAUGUGCUCGCGGACUAUCAGCUUGUUGGUGGGGUAAUGGCCUACCAAGGCUUCGACGGGUAGCCGGCCUGAGGGGGUGACCGGCCGCACUGGUACUGAGAAACGGCAGAGACUCCUACGGGAGGCAGCAGUGGGGAAUAUUGGACAAUGGGCGGAGUCCUGAUCCAGCAACGCCGCGUGAGGGAUAACGGCCUUCGAGUUGUAAACCUCUUUCAGCACCAACGAAGCGAGAGUGACGGUAGGUGCAGAAGAAAGACCGGCCAACUACGUGCCAGCCGCCGCGGUAAUAC
rnacentral:rRNA from 1 species